AAUUCUUUAAAGUAUCAAAGAACAUAUUCUCUAUUUAAAAAUAAAUCUAAAUAUAUGGACAAGACAACGAACAUCUUCUCUAAUGAGAGAUUAAACAAUAUCUGGACAAUAUAUAAAUUUAAAGUAUCAACGAACAUCAUCUCCGAAACAUG